rnacentral:rRNA from 1 species
UCCUGGAAACGGGUGGUAAUGCCGGAUGCUCCAGUUGAUCGCAUGGUCUUCUGGGAAAGCUUUCGCGGUAUGGGAUGGGGUCGCGUCCUAUCAGCUUGACGGCGGGGUAACGGCCCACCGUGGCUUCGACGGGUAGCCGGCCUGAGAGGGCGACCGGCCACAUUGGGACUGAGAUACGGCCCAGACUCCUACGGGAGGCAGCAGUGGGGAAUAUUGCACAAUGGGCGCAAGCCUGAUGCAGCGACGCCGCGUGAGGGAUGGAGGCCUUCGGGUUGUAAACCUCUUUUAUCGGGGAGCAAGCGAGAGUGAGUUUACCCGUUGAAUAAGCACCGGCUAACUACGUGCCAGCAGCCGCGGUAAUACGUAGGGUGCAAGCGUUAUCCGGAAUUAUUGGGCGUAAAGGGCUCGUAGGCGGUUCGUCGCGUCCGGUGUGAAAGUCCAUCGCUUAACGGUGGAUCCGCGCCGGGUACGGGCGGGCUUGAGUGCGGUAGGGGAGACUGGAAUUCCCGGUGUAACGGUGGAAUGUGUAGAUAUC